GCCGGCGUAGCUCAGUUGGCAGAGCAGCGGUUUCGUAAACCGCAGGUCGGUGGUUCGAUUCCACUCGCCGGCU
rfam:Candidatus Nitrospira defluvii chromosome, complete genome.